rnacentral:rRNA from 1 species
GAUGAACGCUGGCGGCGUGCCUAAUACAUGCAAGUCGAGCGGAAAGACGAGGAUCUUGCUCCUUUGACGUGAGCGGCGGACGGGUGAGUAACACGUGGCUAACCUACCUCUAUGACUUAGAUAACUUCGAGAAACCGGAGCAAAGGCCAGAAGAUAUUGCGAACCGCAUGGUUCUGUAGUGAAUGGGGGCUUGGCUAUCACUUAUAGGUGUAUCUGCUCGGUAGUAGCUAGUUGGUGUAGUAACGGCUUACCAAGUAGACGAUACGUGGCCGACAUGGGGGGGUGAACGGCGACAGUGGAACUGAGAGACGGUACAGAGUCCUACGGGAGGCAGCAGUAGGGAAUGGAGGGAAAUGGGCGAAAGACUGACGGAGCAACGCCGGGUGAGUGCUGAAGGGCUUCGGGUCGUAAAACUCUGUUAUGGGGGAAGAACAAUUGUGUACGUGACGGUGCAUGGUGUGACGGUACUUAAUAAGAAAGCACCGGCUAACUACGUG